rnacentral:lncRNA from 1 species
GAAAAAACCAACAAAAAAGUCUAGAUUUCUUAAAUCGCCUUUUGGGAGAAAUAUAUUAUCCUGUUUUUACCAGGACAAUAAGCUCCAAAGGCUUCUGAACUAACACCACAUUCUUUCUCUAUCUUACCCCUUCUCAUCUUAAAACUCCACACACCUUAUCUAGAGGUUAAUGUGUGUGGUCCAUUCCAAAGGACCUGAAGUAAGGUGCACCGGCUAAUCGAUUUUUUUUGUCUUAGUUCAUAGGUCAUACAAGCCCCAGACUGGAAAUUUAAAAAACAAGCCUUGAUCCAGUUAAGAGGUGAACAAAUGAACUAGAACAACUGUGGAUAGGACCGCUGACCUUUAUGCCAGUCCCAUUCUCACUUAAAGGUGGUGUUGUCUCAGUAGCUAUGCCAUUGAUGACAUUUUCGGUGGACAGAUUCUCACUUGGAGAGUUCAUGUUUGGGAACCUGCAAGGACAUAAAAGCACUGUUAAAAUAUUCCAGAAGUUUUAGUAACAAGAGAAAUGGUUCAA